GCUCAUUGCUAGUAUCUCCAUAUCUGGAAGAUAGUUUUGGAUUAUAUCCAUAGUUCUCUAUGUGGAUUUUUAUAAAGUGCCUGUGUUUAUCGUGGACAAAGCUCAUUAUUUUGCAACAUCUAAGCUUUUUGGAUGUGUUGAGGUGACAAUGUAUGACAAAAAAUAGAGCUAGGGGGCCGGCCCCAU